GCCCAGAUAGCUCAGUUGGUAGAGCAUCAGACUUUUAAUCUGAGGGUCCACGGUGAUUUGUUUUUAACA
rnacentral:tRNA from 1 species